rnacentral:rRNA from 1 species
AGAGUUUGAUCAUGGCUCAGAUUGAACGCUGGCGGAAUGCUUUACACAUGCAAGUCGAACGGCAGCAUAGAGAGCUUGCUCUCUGAUGGCGAGUGGCGAACGGGUGAGUAAUAUAUCGGAACGUACCUAGUAAUGGGGAACAACCAGCCGAAAGGUUGGCUAAUACCGCAUACGACCUACGGGUGAAAGCAGGGGAUCUUCGGACCUUGCGUUAUUAGAGCGGCCGAUAUCUGAUUAGGUAGUUGGUGGGGUAAAGGCCUACCAAGCCGACGAUCAGUAGCUGGUCUGAGAGGACGAUCAGCCACACUGGAACUGAGACACGGUCCAGACUCCUACGGGAGGCAGCAGUGGGGAAUUUUGGACAAUGGGGGCAACCCUGAUCCAGCCAUUCCGCGUGAGUGAAGAAGGCCUUCGGGUUGUAAAGCUCUUUCGCAAGAGAAGAAAUCUUACUAUCGAAUAAAUAGUAAGGAUGACGGUAUCUUGACAAGAAGCACCGGCUAACUACGUGCCAGCAGCCGCGGUAAUACGUAGGGUGCGAGCGUUAAUCGGAAUUACUGGGCGUAAAGCGUGCGCAGGCGGUUUUAUAAGUCAGAUGUGAAAUCCCCGAGCUCAACUUGGGAACUGCGUUUGAAACUGUAAGACUAGAGUGUGUCAGAGGGGGGUAGAAUUCCACGUGUAGCAGUGAAAUGCGUAGAUAUGUGGAGGAAUACCAAUGGCGAAGGCAGCCCCCUGGGAUAACACUGACGCUCAUGCACGAAAGCGUGGGGAGCAAACAGGAUUAGAUACCCUGGUAGUCCACGCCCUAAACGAUGUCUACUAGUUGUUGGUGGAGUAAAAUCCAUGAGUAACGCAGCUAACGCGUGAAGUAGACCGCCUGGGGAGUACGGUCGCAAGAUUAAAACUCA